rnacentral:sRNA from 1 species
AGGGCAAUCUGGCUGCGACAUCUGUCACCCCACUGAUUGCCAGAGUUGAUGGGCUAAUCUGGCUGGGUAGGCGGAUGGCCCCUUCUUCCCUCACCCCUCCAUGUGCAUCCUUCCCGAAGCUGCGCUCUCAGGUAAAAAGGACGGCCUUCCCGGAAUAGAGACGGGCCGGUCUCCAAAGAAGCUCUCAAGAGAAACAAGUACCGUGUUGAAACAAAUCAGAAUAAAACCAAAACUCCGGCUCAAUCACUCUAU